GAUGAACGCUGGCGGCGUGCCUAACACAUGCAAGUCGAACGAAGCACCUUUUAAGAUUCUUCGGAUGAUUGAUUGGUGACUGAGUGGCGGACGGGUGAGUAACGCGUGGGUAACCUGCCCUGUACAGGGGGAUAACAGUUGGAAACGGCUGCUAAUACCGCAUAAGCGCACGAGAGGACAUCCUCUUGUGUGAAAAACUCCGGUGGUACAGGAUGGGCCCGCGUCUGAUUAGCUGGUUGGCAGGAUAACGGCCUACCAAGGCGACGAUCAGUAGCCGGUCUGAGAGGAUGAACGGCCACAUUGGAACUGAGACACGGUCCAAACUCCUACGGGAGGCAGCAGUGGGGAAUAUUGCACAAUGGGGGAAACCCUGAUGCAGCAACGCCGCGUGAGUGAAGAAGUAUUUCGGUAUGUAAAGCUCUAUCAGCAGGGAAGAUAAUGAUGGUACCUGACUAAGAAGCUCCGGCUAAAUACGUGCCAGCCGCCGCUGUAA
rnacentral:rRNA from 1 species